AGUAGCAUUCCUCAUUAACAUAGCCCACCCUGCUGGUACGAGCCAACACGGGACGGGCAAGUCAUUCAAGGUGAUGCGCCACUCUUUGACAAACCCUCCUGAUCCCAAUGGCAAAGCCGAUUCAGGCAAGACAGUAGGUCAUGUUAACUUUGGCAAACCCUCCUGAUGGCAAAGCCAAAUCAGGCAAGACAGUAGGCAUUGUUAACUUUUGACAAACCCCCCUAAGGGCAAGGCCAAUAUAGGCAAAACAGUAAGCUUGGUUAACUUUGACAAACCCUCCCAAGGGCAGGGCCAAACCAGGCAAAACAGUAACCUUUGUAAACUUUGGAAAACCCCCCCAAGGGCAGGGCCAAUCAGGCACCACAGCAAGCAUUGUUAACUUUGACAAACCCUCCCUAUGGCAAACCCUUUUUUGGCUUAAAUAAACCAUUGUUAAUUUUAACAAACCCUCCCAAUGGCAAAGCCGUAUUCAGGCAAGACUGUAAGCCUUCUUAAAUUUGACAAACCCUCCCGAUGGCAAGGCCGUUUCAGGCAAGACAGUAAGCAUUUUUAACUUUGACAAACCCUCCCGAUGGCAAGGCCAAAUCAGGCAAGACAGUAAGCAUUGUUAACUUUGGCAAACCCUCCCGAUGGCAAGGCCAAACCAGGCAAGACAGCAAGUCAUGUUAAGAGAGGCACAAACGCUAAAUGAGGGCAAAACAAGGAUCCCAUGAGACCCCAUGCCCACAUCGUUUUCCAUAUCCAGGAUACCAAGCAACGCUCAAUGGGCCACAACAUCAACGCAAGCGUAAUGUUGUGGAUCAAAGAGACCGCUUUGGGGUUCAUCCGAUGCCUCUAAAAUGGCACGAGACGAAAUUAACUGCAAUCAACCAAGACAAUAACAUUGCUUAGGUACGCAACACAGAAACCCACAAUAGGCCAGGCA
rnacentral:misc_RNA from 1 species